rnacentral:piRNA from 1 species
UUGCCGUCUGCUGUGUGAGUGAAGGUGACA